rnacentral:lncRNA from 1 species
AGUUUCUUUCACUGCCUUUGGAUCAAGACGUAGAACUCCCCGCUCCUUCUCUAGCACCACAUCUGCCUGCUGCCAUGCUUCCCGCCAUGACGAUAAUGCACUAAACCUCUGAACUAAAAAGAAAACACGGCACUGUUUCCAAACACUGCACUGAAUCCAUGCCCAAGAAGAGUUGUGUGGUCAGAGCUGUCUCUAUCCUCCACCUUCUCACAGGGCUCGGUCUCUCCAGCACUUGGCGGGUGUGGCAUCCUCGCACCUCCUCUGUGUGUUAGGCUGCCUCAGUGGGGCUAUGUUUGUGGGUAUGGAAAUUACACAACUGUCUUCAUGAGAUUCUCCACCACGCCCUCUAAAGCUUCUGUUUGGACUUCUACCAUUUAAUUUGAAGGGUAUUGCCAGGUGUCACAUGUAGAGAGGCCAGAAGUCCUCAAUCAGCAUGGCUUGGCUGAUGCCCUCUCUAUGAGAAGCUGUCCUCGUCUUUUCAGAGCCGGGUAGCUGUCCAUGGUACUUGGCUUAUGGUCAAAUCAGAACACCUCGCUGCCCACUCAGCUUCCAUAUAGAACAUCAUAGUUGCAUUAAAGACCUAUGAAAACUCUUUAUAAGCCCUCCCCUCGAAAGCUUAAUCAACGGUCUG